UACAUUCAAACCGACGAAUCGUAUUUCGUUCCUAUUAGACUAUCCCUAUCGAAUAAGGUUUCAUAUAACCAUUGUGUUCCACUUUCUGUUUGCCAUACCGAACCGAUCCAAUGACAACCCUCCAUUCAAAAUAAAUAAUCUUGAAAAAUCACGGAAAAAUAGCAAUCCAAUUCAGUAUGACUAACAAUUCGAUUAUAUAAACACAAGCUAUAUGUAUAAAAUCAAACGAUGAAUCGUAUUUCGUUCCUAUUAGACUAACCCCUAUCAAAUAAGGUUUCAUAUAAGUAACUAUUUGCAUUUCAAUUUCUGUUCCUCGUACCAAACCAAUCCAAUGACAACCCUCCAUUCAAAAUACAUAAUCAUGAAAAUCACUUGUAAUCUCAUAAAAAUCACGAAACAAUAGCAAUCCAAUUCAGUAUGACUAACGAUUCGAUUAUAUAAACACAAAAGAUAUAUGUAUAGAUUCAAACCAAUGAAUCAUAUUUCGUUCCUAUAAGACUAUCCCUAUUGAAUAAGGUGUCGUAUAAGUAACCAUUUGCAUUUCAAUUUCCAUUCCUCGUACAGAACCGAUCCAAUGGCAACCCUCCAUUCAAAAUACAUGAAAAUCACUUGUAAUCUCAUAAACAUCACGGAACAACAGCAAUCCAAUUCAGUAUGACUAACGAUUCGAUUAUACAAACACAAAAGCUAUAUGUAGACAUUCGAACCGAUGAUUUGUAUUCAUUCCUAUUAGACUAUCCCAAUCAAAUAAGGUUUCCUAUAAGUAACCAUUUGCGUUUAAAUAUCCAUUCCUCAUACGGAACUGAUCCAAUGACAACCCUCCAUUCAAAGUACAUAAUCAUGAAAAUCAUGGAACAAUAGCAAUCCAAUUCAGUAUGAUUAACGAUUCGAUUAUAUAAACACAAAAGCUAUAUGUAUACAUUCAAACCGAUGAGUCGUAUUUCAUUCCUAUUAGACUAUCC
rnacentral:lncRNA from 1 species